UGGGGAAUAUUGGACAAUGGGCGCAAGCCUGAUCCAGCCAUGCCGCGUGAGUGAUGAAGGCCCUAGGGUUGUAAAGCUCUUUCACCGGUGAAGAUAAUGACGGUAACCGGAGAAGAAGCCCCGGCUAACUUCGUGCCAGCAGCCGCGGUAAUACGAAGGGGGCUAGCGUUGUUCGGAAUUACUGGGCGUAAAGCGCACGUAGGCGGACAUUUAAGUCAGGGGUGAAAUCCCGGGGCUCAACCCCGGAACUGCCUUUGAUACUGGGUGCCUAGAGUUCGAGAGAGGUGAGUGGAAUUCCGAGUGUAGAGGUGAAAUUCGUAGAUAUUCGGAGGAACACCAGUGGCGAAGGCGGCUCACUGGCUCGAUACUGACGCUGAGGUGCGAAAGCGUGGGGAGCAAAACAGGAUUAGAUACCCUGGUAGUCCACGCCGUAAAACGAUGGAAGCCAGCUGUCGGCAAGUUUACUUGUCGGUGGCGCAGCUAACGCAUUAAGCUUCCCGCCUGGGGAGUACGGUCGCAAGAUUAAAACUCAAAUGAAUUGACGGGGUCAUAGCUGUUUCCUG
rnacentral:rRNA from 1 species